rnacentral:rRNA from 1 species
UACAGAGACUGCAAGCGUUAUUCGGAUUCAUUGGGCGUAAAGGGUGCGUAGGUGGCGCUGUAAGUCGGGUGUGAAAUCCUGAGGCUUAACCUCGGAACUGCAUUCGAUACUGCGGCGCUUGAGGACUGGAGAGGAGACUGGAAUUCAUGGUGUAGCAGUGAAAUGCGUAGAGAUCAUGAGGAAGACCAGUGGCGAAGGCGGGUCUCGUGGACAGUUCCUGACACUGAGGCACGAAGGCCAGGGGAGCAAACGGG